AGAGAUGUGUGAUGACGCAUAUCAAUAAGCGGAGGAAAAGAAACUAACAAGGAUUCCCUUAGUAACGGCGAGUGAAGCGGGAAGAGCUCAAAUUUGAAAUCUUCAAGGUUCUACCUUGACGAAUUGUAGUUUAUAGAAGUGUUUUCUGUUAGUAGAGUGGCAAAAGUUCUUUGGAAUAGGACAUCAUAGAGGGUGAGAAUCCCGUAUUUGGUCAUUCUUUCUAGCUUUGUGAUACACUUUCAACGAGUCGGAUUGUUUGGGAAUGCAGUCCAAAAUGGGUGGUAAAUUUCAUCUAAAGCUAAAUAUUGGCGAGAGACCGAUAGCGAACAAGUACCGUGAGGGAAAGAUGAAAAGAACUUUGAAAAGAGAGUUAAACAGUACGUGAAAUUGUCAAAAGGGAAGCGUUUGACACCAGUGUUGUUUUUCCGAAAAUCAAUUACGAAUGUUUUGUUUUUGAGAAGUUAUGACUUCAUCGGCUUGCUUCUCUCUUUACGAAACUUUCUUAAUGCACUUUUCGGUUAACAAGUCAACAUCAAUUUCUUUUGUUGUAAAAGGGUAUGAGGAAGGUGGCUUUCUUUUCGGAGAAAGUGUUUAUAGCCUUGUACCUCUGCAAUCGGAGAGAUUGAGGUCUGCAGCGUAGAUCCUUCGGGGUUAGAUACAUUUGUGCUAAGUUAUAGCUUUUCAUAGACAACUUGUUGACUAUGUUAAGUCUUGUAGCUUACUCGCUUAUGCUAUUUUACCUACGCUUAGGAUGUUGACGAUCAGCUGAGCGCG
rnacentral:rRNA from 1 species